ensembl:misc_RNA Metazoa_SRP Metazoan signal recognition particle RNA
GCCGGGCGUGGUAGCGCAUGCCUGUAAUCCCAGCUACUCGGGAGGCUGAGGUGGGAGGAUCGCUUGAGCCCAGGAGUUCUGGGCUGUAGUGCGCUAUGCUGAUCAGGUGUCCGCACUAAGUUCAGCAUCAAUAUGGUGACCUCCCGGGAGCAGGGGACCAGCAGGUUGCCUAAGGAGGGGUGAACCGGCCUGGGUCGGAAACGGAGCAGGUCAAAACUCCCGUGCUGAUCAGUAUUGGGAUCGCGCCUGUGAAUAGCCACUGCACUCCAGCCUGGGCAACAUAGUGAGACCCCGUCUCU